rnacentral:lncRNA from 1 species
GAAAUAGACUAACACACCAGUCCUAUUGGAUUAGGGCCCCACCCUUACGACCUGACUAGACCUUAAUUACUUUCCUGAAGGCCCCAUCUCUAAUAUAGUCACACUGGAGGGUUAGGGCUUCAACACAUGAAUUUGGCUGGGGAGGCACAGUUCAGUACACAACAGAUGGGAACCAUCUUUUUUUUUCUGUUUCAACUUUUUUUUCAGUAUCAACUUUUUGUUUUGUUACAGUGAUUUAGCAUAAAACAAGUAGACACUAAUGUAACAUGCUCACUUAAAAUUCCAAGAAUUCUCAAAAAUUCUCGUACUAUGAACUGACCUUCUUAGUUUCUAAAACUGAAGAAAUCAUUGUAAUUUAAAACAUAAAUCAUCUCAAUCAUAAACAUUAAGAGUUUCCUUGGUGUUCACUCUUGGGAUAUUUCAAAAGAUGAUAAAGUAUGAAAUUAAGCAGAGCCUAUUAAGAUCAACCAUUUUUUAUUAUAUGACCUAUUCAUUUCAAAAUGUAGAUGCACAUAAUAAAUAAGUUUUCCAGUGUGUGCCUGCUCAGAGGUUUCUACACUCUCAGAAAGAAACCAAGCUAAUUACACAUGAAAUAUCAACUGGUGAGCAAUUAUAACCUGAAAAAUACCCUCAUGAUUUUGUAUAUUUUAUAAAUUUAUGAGUUGGGCAAAAAAUGUUAUAUCUAUACCAUGAAUUCAGAAACAGUGGUAAAAUAUGGUCAUAACAAACAGUAUGUGUAUAUAUACACACACGUAUACACAUACACACAUUAUACAUACACGUACCUCAUACACACACACACCUCAUACACACACACCCACACACCCACACCCACCACUAUCAUAAACUUCUGCUUUUAUUUGGCUGGUAAUAUGUACAAAUGAAUAUUUCUGAUUUGUUAGCUUUCUUGGCAUAUUUCUGUCUAAUUUUUUUAAUCUCUCCUCCUUCUUUUCAGAUAAGAAAAACAUGCUCUCUCUUCUCUAAUGAUUGGACAGACUCCUACUCCAAAACAGAAGAUCUCAACUCUGGAAGAGAACAGAUGCCUUCCACUGUGUGAGCGUAAAUUCAGAGCCUUCCAACUUGACAUUCUCAUCGACAAAUUAUUUAAACAUGACGGCUCUUUUAUAAAGAGUGUUAUCUUAAAAGGAAAGGAAUCAAAGGGCUGAACAUGUUGAAGGGAGGAGAAACAAGACCCCCAGGACUUGUCAAUGGCACACAUGAAAGACAGAAAACACCAGAAGCCAGUCUUCAGCCUGCUGGCCCAGCCAUGGCCACUGUAACGUACGGCUAAACCCCUGCCCCGAUCAGCUCUCAAGGCUCUGAGCCAACUGCCUAGACCGUCUAUUUGAGAUCCCUGAGAGUUUCAACACAGGGCAUGGCUGACCUCUCCACCGUGUCAUUUCCAGUAAUGCGGCCUCACUGAUAGCAGAAGUUCGGAGAGCUCUUGUCAGAGAGGCCAGCUGGCACCAUGUGAGUCUUACCCAGAGGGAAACCUGACAAUCUUCCAGCAUGCUCACCAGACUGGGGCACUGACUUUUGUCACUUGAUUCUCAACUCACAGUCUCAAGAUGCUGGUGCUAAUGUACAUUGCAGCUGACACUGGAGUUUAUUUUUAUAACUGCUCUUGCCUCAGAAAAAGCUCCAUCCCAGUACGACUUCCAGGACAGGGAUGGUCUGGAUGCUGCAGUUAGGACAAUGAUCAUCUCGUUCUCUUAGUGGUUAGGAAUCCUGUGGGCUUAUGGAAUAAGCUCGCUGAAACAGACAGUGACAUCCACGGUGACACUGACCGAAUUGUGCUCCAGUGGCCUAGAGAGUGCCUAUUAUUUAUCUCAUUUCUGUUCUGCAUAAUAACACCAACCAAACCGCUAAUGAAUGAAUAUUAUUACAUGCUUUGGUAGGAACGCAAAGGCAAAUUGGGCUCACUGUAGAGAAUAUCUUGCUCCUCAUUUUGUAUUAAAAUGCCUAGACGCCCCUCAAGAGACCAUGUCAAGGAUGAAAUUUAUCCACUGCCUGCAUUUGCUAAUUUGAAAGAGUUCUGAUUUCAUCUGCCGGGCUUAAUAUAGAAAUUCUUUUAACCUGAACAGAUACACAGAAAUGUGGAAUUUAUUCAAUGCCAUUUUCUUGAUUUAUGUCAGGAAAUAUAUAUGGCUAUGCUGUCAUCUUUUUAUAUAUAGACAUCAAUAUAUAUAAAUAUAUAGAGUCAAGUCAGAAAUUCUGAAACCACAUUGCACUUAGCCCUUACAGCAUAAUGCUUUCCAUAUUCUUCACAGUUUGUUUCCCUGAUCCUUUAGAGAGAGCUACUGUGUUUAAAGUGUAAACCAUUUUUACAGAAAAAAUGUAUUACAAUUCUAUAUGAUAAUUCUCAA